UACAGAGGGGGCAAGCGUUGUUCGGAAUUACUGGGCGUAAAGGGCGCGUAGGCGGCCCGCUAAGUCGAACGUGAAAUCCCCGGGCUCAACCCGGGAACUGCGUCCGAUACUGGUGGGCUCGAAUCCGGGAGAGGGAUGCGGAAUUCCAGGUGUAGCGGUGAAAUGCGUAGAUAUCUGGAGGAACACCGGUGGCGAAGGCGGCAUCCUGGACCGGUAUUGACGCUAAGGCGCGAAAGCCAGGGGAGCAAACGGG
rnacentral:rRNA from 1 species